CGCUGAGCCUUGCAGAUCCUGCAGGGAGUUCAGCCCUCCCCAGCCAGCCCUCCCCUUCCAGAUCUGCCCAGCAAAGCUCUCCUGCCACCCUCCCUGCCAUUGACAAUCCUCUAACUACACCAGACCAGAACAUGUUCUUCAAAUAGGACAUGCACUUUCAUGCCCCCAGUCCUUUGUUCACGCUGUUCCUUCAGCUUGGAAUGUCCUUUCUCUCUUCUUCACCUGGCCAGGCCCUAUAAUCUCUGAAGUCUUCCCCUCUAUUUAAUCACAAGAAUUUCUUACACUCUAGGCCUUAACACCUGCCUAGUUUCUCCAACUCUGGUGGCCAGAGCUACUGGCCCCAAACAACUCCCAGAGGGGGCUCAGGGAGGCAGUGGCAUCAGUAGAAGCACUCUAAGAGACUUGAGUCAGGGGUGCUGUUGGGAGCAGGUAGAAGUGUUAGAAUGCCUGGGUCCUGGGAGUUUCCAGAGAGAGCAAGUCCCAGGUGUGGGCGUAGGGGUACCUGGCUGUCUUUGGAAAACUGACAGCUGAUCUGGAAAACUAUUAUUUGCAAGUCUAUUAUGGGUCAAGCACUAGCCUUGGUAGUGAACAAGACAGCUGAGUUUCCUCUCUUAUGGAGCUCCCAAAAGAAGGGAAGGUGGGGCAGAGUAAGGACAAAAACCAAACAGGUGAACAAAUUAGCUUAUUUCAGAGCAUGAGAAUGGCUAUUCUCAUUAUCACAGGGUGAUGUGAUAAUAAACAGUGACUCAGAGGUGAAGCAAUCAGAGGGGCAGCUAGACAACCCCCAAACAGUCAGGUAAGGCAAGGCCCAUGGUUCAUGCUUUUAAUCCCAGUGACUUGGAAAGAUAAAACAGAUUGUAAAUUCAAGGCCAACCUGGGCAACUUAGAAAAACCUUGUCUCAAAAUAAAAAAUGCAAAGGAUAUGUGCAUGUAGUUUAGUGGAAUAACACCCCUGGCUUCAAUUCCUAUUACCACAGAAACAAACAGUCCUCCCCUUAAGGAAUGAGAGGAUCUACACUCUGUCAAGCCCUGGCAGAGGACAGAAAGCUGCCUGAGGCUGAGUGGAACAAAGGGAACCAAGAUGAUUGGGUUAUGGAAAAAACAAAACAAAAAAAAUUGAAAAGAGGGAAAGGAAGACUCUGGAUUUGAUACCCAGCACCAAAGAAAGAAAGAAAAAGAAAAAAGAUGAAGAAUGCUAGAAGUUACAGUCUCAAAAUCAGUGGUCAGGGAAAGACUAAAAGAAGUAGUCUUUUCCAUGGGAGCAAACCAUGGAAAUGUCUAGUGGAAGAACAUUCCAGAGAGUUCCACAAGCAAAGAGAAGAUUCAUAAUAGCAC
rnacentral:lncRNA from 1 species